GGGGUUGUGACUCAGUGGUAGAGCGCUCACCUAGCACGUGCUAGGCGCUGGGUUCAAUCCUCAGCACCACA
rnacentral:tRNA from 1 species